AUUCACUUUUAAGCAUGUUUUUAGCUUUAAACAGUAGGCAGUCUCGAGUGUUUUGUAGUGCUGAGCCAAAGGUAUUUAUAUUUUUUAUUAUUUGAUAUCUAUUUUGUUUUGCAGGUACUUUCGGCGACGCGCGCGCGUUUUUCCCGCCUUUUUUUUCUUUUGCGCUUCACUCUAAAAUUACACCGCUUUCUUUGUUCUUUUAGACGUUUUUUUUUAUAAUUAACUUAUAAUUCCCCGGUUCCUGUUCGUGUCCAGGUAGAUUCUUACUUUACUUGGAUUAAGUUUCUUUUGUCCAGGUUUUCAAGGUGUUUUGAAGCGAUAUCGCUCAACGUGUCAAACGGCCAUCAAAGUCUCACGUGAUCUGAUCUCAUCGCAAGGUAAGCUGUCCCCAUUUUACUAAUCACAACAUGACUUCAUCUCUUCAACACGAAAUGUUUGAAUAAUUCAUUUAUUUUGAAGCAUUUYCAUUGACAAGAUGUGGGAAUUUUACUCUGAAAGAUGCCAUUAYCUAAAACAGUAGCUUUAUUAAGCUAUUGAUAGCGAUCUGUGGUAAACGUGUCAUUUUUUUCAUCGUCAAUCUUCAGUUGUUAAUACAGCACUGCUUACAUUGUAGAUUUCCGUGGUUUGUUGUUUGGUUCUGCGUUUAAUUUCUCGAAAAGAAAAGGCUGGAUUCGAGGUCGACUGUACAGUUAAGUCCAGUAAAGGUACACAGAACAGUCCAGUAAAGGUAAGACUAGGUUUAUAUUCAUAGCUGUUCUUCCGAGAUCAUUGAUUGGUUUGCAAUUAGCUGUAUGUAUAGCCAGAUUAUUAGAAAAUAUGUGAAUGCUACCGCGGCUGUGCAUCAUUAAAGAAUUAUUUCCAACAUUGAGAAUUAACAAGCAUCCUUUACGAGCUUUUUAUGCUGAAAAUAAAAAUAUAUCGUAAUAUAAGCGAAAACGUACUCUUUAUUUUCCCCGUCUUUAUUCUCUAUAAAUGGAGACAAAAUUUGAUCUUUAAACCGACGGAUGGAAACGAUUUGCGAAUGGAUAUUUCAGAAUGCACCUUAUUUUACAUUUAUGAAAAAUUUAAAACACGACCGCAUUGAAUGCUGGUUGAAAAUAGCACUUGAAGAUACGCAAAAAGAUAUUAUGAAAAAAAAAAAAAAAA